AAAGAAAAGAGAUAGGGCAAGGUCUUACCACUCCCUCUGCUCUGCACUUCUUCAGACAAAGCAGUGACUGAAGAUGAGGCAACAUCAGUUUGAGCAAGGAUACUGACAUGCUGAAGGAGGGAUUUGUAUGUAUGACUGCUUGUUGCAUUCAGUGAAACAUCUUUUGCCAAUGGGAGCUUCCUCUAACGAACCUGGGGAAAAAUAUCACUGGGAGCUCACCUAGCCACUGGACAAUGUACAUGGGAAGAAGACUGAAUUUCCAGCUGGAGAUACCAUUUUUUUCUUACCAAAGUCCUUCACACAGGUAAAAAGUUCAUGGCAAACCAGCCAUCCUCAGUGUUGGAGCUUGCAGAACUCUAUACUUGUCUGCAGUGAUUUGUGACUUUGUCACAAGACUGAUCCAUAAUGCA
rnacentral:lncRNA from 1 species